GACAGAGGGUGCAAACGUUGUUCGGAAUUAUUGGGCGUAAAGCGCUCGUAGGCGGUUCGGUAAGUCGGGUGUGAAACCUCCAGGCUCAACCUGGUGACGCCACCCGAUACUGCCGUGACUUGAGUUCGGUAGGGGAGCGGGGAAUUCCUGGUGUAGCGGUGAAAUGCGCAGAUAUCAGGAGGAACACCGGUGGCGAAGGCGCCGCUCUGGGCCGAAACUGACGCUGAGGAGCGAAAGCGUGGGGAGCGAACAGG
rnacentral:rRNA from 1 species